UAACCCAUGUACACGUAGAAAGGAACACUUGAACAUUAAGCAUGGGCAGUGCCCUACAACCCUUUUUUUUUUUUUUUGAGAUUAAAAGAAUGAAACUAAUAAAAAGACACCAAGGGGAUGUUGCCCAUUUACAAAAUAUUUACAUCACAGUUAAAGUAUCAAUGAUUUUUCCAAAAUCAUCCCAUCUAUAUAAGUCAUGAUCCAAAAUCAAAGAACCAAAGACGUGUAUCUAUUUAUUUCUAAUUUUUUCUAACUCCCUCUCACACUUAUCAAAAGCUCU
rnacentral:lncRNA from 1 species